rnacentral:rRNA from 1 species
UGCCAGCCGCCGCGGUAAUACGGAGGGGGUUAGCGUUGUUCGGAAUUACUGGGCGUAAAGCGUACGUAGGCGGAUUAAUAAGUUAGAGGUGAAAUCCCAGGGCUCAACCCUGGAACUGCCUUUAAAACUGUUAGUCUUGAGAUCGAGAGAGGUGAGUGGAAUUCCAAGUGUAGAGGUGAAAUUCGUAGAUAUUUGGAGGAACACCAGUGGCGAAGGCGGCUCACUGGCUCGAUACUGACGCUGAGGUACGAAAGUGUGGGGAGCAAACAGGAUUAGAUA